GGAAAACGCAUAUCCAGGCGUCACUGACCUCUUUCUUGGGAUAGUUUUUCAACCAGCAUUACACAGAAACAGGAAGAGGAAGCCCUAGAGUGAAUUGAAUAAGCUUAUCUAAAUCAAAAUAUAUUGAAGUGGACCAUGAUGACAUUCAAACGGGGGGAGCCUUUGGUGGACAGAGCUGACAUCAGAGUUGAGAGUCUGACCUGUAUUGAUACCUGUUUCCUCCAAUAAAAAACAGAGGCUUUCCAGGGUCGGCUGCAGAGGAGCAUCCCCACAGCAUGAUGCUGCCACCAUAGUGCUUCACAGUGGGGAUGGUGUGUUUG